rnacentral:lncRNA from 1 species
AAGGCACAGCUCAACCCUCCAAUGAACAUUUGCUUGGUGCCUCUCAUAUGUCAAGGAAGAAGGUGAAUUGGAAACUAGACACAAAAGUGGACAUGCUCUAUGACUCCGUUUCUAUGAAGUUCAAGAACAGCCCCUGCCCCCCAGAGAUGGUUCUGAGACAGAAGAAAUGUUGCUACGGGCAUGGAUUUCUGGAUGGUUUCUAAGAAUUGCUUGAGUUUUGGUGAAAAGAGAAUUCUCCCAAAUAGAAUCAUCUUGGAUUUUCCAAUUACAUGCUCUAAUUGAAGCAGAGACCCUGGGCUCUAAAUCACUCUGCAAGCUGUGUACUGGGCUUGACUCACUGGAAGCAGAGGUAGCUGGCCAAGGCCAGCAUGGCCCAUGGCCCAGCAACUGCCUUUGAUUGGGCUCCACUGCCAGACCGACUAUGGAGCGGCCUGGCCAUGGCCCCCAAGGACUCUGAGAGGGAACAAUUCUGACUAGUAAUGGCAUACUUGGUUUCUGGAGAAGCACGCUCUGGGUCAUUAGGGCUGCCAGCUUGUAGGGCCAACAGGGACCUCACUGGGUUUUUAUGAAAAAUGCUUGUGGCACUGGGUCCAUCCUGGUCAUGAUUCCUGGAUGCCACACCUUCCUGGUAAGGUAAGACAGGUGUCAACCUUCGACCUCCAACCACCACCGCCAGCCUAGGGACAAUGACCAUAUCUCUAAAACCAUAUAAUCAUAUAAGACAUAUGAGUGUAGAAGGAGAAUAGUGACCUGUGCAAGAUUAACCUAGCAAUCCUCUUCCAGAAUAUUCUCUGUCCCUUUCCCUCUUAGUCACUCCCCUUCUCCAAUCUCUCCCUCUCUCUCUCUCUCCUGUGUGUUCCAUCAUAACACUUAUUUCUCUUCUCUUUUAAACUAACUAAAUCUUGACAUUUUAGCUAAGAUCUUCCAUUUAAAUACAGAAACUUGAAAUUAGUUUCAAGUUUUUAACUAGGAAAAACUAAGAAAAAUCCUUGAGAUUAUAAAACAUUGGAACAGGAGACACGAACACUCAAGCCUUCUAUGUUGAGCUAUGCAACAUAACAUCAUUUCAGUUCAACAGUAUCUACCAUUUCUCUGCCAGGUGUCGUGGAAGAUGCUUCAGAAGAUCAAGGUGGAAGGUAAGGAAGUGAAAAUGGAUGAGGCAUUGAUAUAGCCAACAUUUUUGUGUCAAGUUAUGUAGAGAGC